rnacentral:tRNA from 1 species
AGCCCCGGCCGAUGUUACCCGGCGUCUUUGGAUUUGCAAUCCAAUAUGUAAUACACCACAAGGCU